ACAACAGGUGUGGACUAACAGUGAAAUGCUUGGUAAACAACAGGUGUGGACUAACAGUGAAAUGCUUGGUAAACAACAGGUGUGGACUAACAGUGAAAUGCUUGGUAAACAACAGGUGUGGACUAACAGUGAAAUGCUUGGUAAACAACAGGUGUGGACUAACAGUGAAAUGCUUGGUAAACAACAGGUGUGGACUAACAGUGAAAUGCUUGGUAAACAACAGGUGUGGACUAACAGUGAAAUGCUUGGUAAACAACAGGUGUGGACUAACAGUGAAAUGCUUGGUAAACAACAGGUGUGGACUAACAGUGAAAUGCUUGGUAAACAACAGGUGUGGACUAACAGUGAAAUGCUUGGUAAACAACAGGUGUGGACUAACAGUGAAAUGCUUGGUAAACAACAGGUGUGGACUAACAGUGAAAUGCUUGGUAAACAACAGGUGUGGACUAACAGUGAAAUGCUUGGUAAACAACAGGUGUGGACUAACAGUGAAAUGCUUGGUAAACAACAGGUGUAGACUAACAGUGAA